UGCCAUGCAUCAGGUCAAACUGCUUUCUGCCCUGUCAAGAAACAUCUGUAUGACUUUUUAGCCAUUCAGAAGGCAAAGCUGACCUCAUAUUUACACCCAGCUGCUUUUUGAUAAUGAAAAGCUAUCUCUGUCGUACACGAUAGGCUACGGCCACUCAAUAGAUAACCACAAAGAUCCUGGCCCCUCCCUGGCCUGGAAAACUACAUCCUGUGUAUUGUGACAGAGAGCUGAUAUGGAGCUCCGAGGGGGUUGGUCAAUACGUGACCAACCGGCUCAAUUCGGUUUUAUGUAGCAACAUUUGAAAUGGUGUUUUUUGCUUUGGAUAAAAGUAGAGACUCAGAGCUGGAAAAUGAUAUAUCAUACACUACAGUUGAGGUACAAUGGGAAAGUAAUUCUGCUUUGAAAGUUACUUGUAACCUCACUUUUGAGAAAAUGGCCCUUGAAUGUAUUGGUACACAUACUGGAGAGCUCUUUUUGUCUACACCCAUUCAGCAUCGUUCACACCCUCUUAAGAUUUAGCCCCACCCAUCUCUUUAAGGAUUCACAUGUGAGGCCGUGUACUAAACAACCAAAGAUUUCAAGACUAAAGGCUGGUUUAUACUACAGGUUUGUUCGUAAAUUUAUUCUGGAGUGCCAAAGUGUGCUCAGAGUGUGCUCUGGGCGUCCGUAAACUCAGAGUGUUGUCAGAUUGUCCAUUCGUAAAUUCAGAGUUUUUCGCUCUCAGAGCGUUUAGAGCGCACACUGGACGCUCUGGCCAAGGAGCACCCAAGCUAACUGGCUAAAGUUGGUGAUUGCAAAUGUGCUGCUGGCAACAAUUGAAUAACUUUUUUUUGCCAACAUUUACUGACAUCGGCCAUAUUCAAUGGGUGUUGAGCGUUCGUUAAUUCAUCAGUUAUUCUGCGCUCUGGCACACACAGACGAGAGUGCUCUGAAAUCGGAGUAGAUAGCCAGAGCGAAUUUACCAUCUACGUCUAGCGACAGUUGUCGCAGUGACAUCAUGAACAUUCUAUUGAAAUGGUUACUUGCAUAGUGGAGUCUUUUGUUUAGACAUAUAGCUAGCUAGCUAAACAAUGAACCAUAAUCCCAACUCAUAACGUUCAAUGUUAGCUAGCUAGGUUAUUAGGCUAUAACUAGCAAUACAAAUGGCUCUGAGAUACGAAUAAUAUAACUACACACAUCAUACACGUAACUUUAGCUAGCGAGAGAGCCAGCUAACGUUAGCUAGCUAACAGUACACAUUAACUUAAAAUGAAAACAACUUACUGACUAAAUUAGAUACGUGUAAUAUCUGAAAAUGUAGCUAGCUAGACUGUCUUACCUGUAUAAAUGUAUGGACGCUUCUCCCUCUCUAUCACAGAUGCCAUGGUUGCCCAUAGUUUGAAGAUGUAAUCCGGAGACAGGUGUUUAAUACAACAGCCUUCUGUUUGUUCUCUUUUCGACUCAGUCUGCAUAUUUGCAAUCAAACACCAGAAUUUUCUCCAUCCUCUUAGCUAUCAUACUCUACUUCCACUGAUUUCCAAACUCCAGAAAGUGGAUAACAACACCUUUGCAGUAUCUUUCAAAAAAAGACGCGUUAGAAAGGAUUACCUACACAUACUGACCAGAUCAUGUUUUAGACAGAAGUGUGCUACAUGGCAGACCAAUCCGAACUCAUCUCUUGGCAUGUACAGCUCACUUAUUAUCUCAACCAAUCAUGGCUAGCGGGAAGGUUCCUGUCUCUUUCUGUGGCUAAACCAACUAGGCUCGUAAUUUAAAAAUUGUAUUCGUAUUUACAGAUGGCAUACAAGUUUGUUAUUAAGGCACGUGAAAGUUCACGUUACAGAAAGCAGUUCUGCCAAAAAUCGCAUCUCCUCUGAAGUAGUGAUGUGCGACAUGCGCCUAGUUUCCUAAAACGAGUCACAUAUUAUGGUGAAAUGAUCUUGGUUAUACAGUGGCAUGUUAAACAAGAGAGAACAUUUUAGAAACACUCUCUCUAAGCAUGCACACCAGUGUUUCCUUUGCGUUCGUUUAAGUGUGGCGCUGCUCCACAACAUAAUCAUUCUCGCCACACCAAAAGAAACAUCCUAUUUCUCCCAAACAUAGUUUCAAUACAGUUCUGUACAGCACAUUCACUUUUCUUGGUAAAUAGAUAUCCUGUCUUGGUUCAACACACUUCUGAAGGUUAUUUAGCUCUGUGAGCUGUGGCAGGCAACCAGUGAGCGAGUGACCAGUGCUCGAUACAAAAGCUCUGCGGCGCAAAGCACAAUUCACUUGAAUCACUUCAGAGUGCUUCUGCGUGAGGAACUGAAAGAAAGGUACGUUAGUUUAUUUGACUAAAGUCAGCUAGCCAGCUUGUUAACUACAUAAGCUAGCUAUAACCUUAACUCUUCUAGCAUCAUUUAGAUCUAUAAUAUUGCUGCCGCAAUUGUAACAGCAAUUAUCUAUCCAAUAUCCACAAGUAUGUUGAUGAUAGAAACAUGGUUAACUAGCGUUACUAGUCUAGCAAGUUAGCUAGCUAGUUCGUUCGGAACUGUAUCAAGUGCAAGCAAGAUAGCUACAUUUAUCCGUCUUUGAUUACAUAACUUUUUUCUCAGAUGACUUUAUUUAAAUAUUUCCAGCCGCAGCAGCGAAAGAGAAAGGGGGAGCAGGGACAAACUUUAUUUUGUUAGCUAACUCUUUAAAAGCUUAAGUUAUCAUUUUUAUAACAAGUGUAUGGCUUACUUUACUAGACAGAGAAGAGGUGGAAUCCCGGGAGUGAGGUAGGGAUGCAUAAGGGACAGAAUGGAGCAGAGGAAAGGAAAGCGCCAGGAGGGGAGAUGGAGGUGCGAAAAGGAGAGAGGGUAGCAGAGUGGAACAGAGGAAAGGAGAGAGCCAGGAAGGGAGAUGGAGGUGCGAAAAGGAGAGAGGGGAGCAGAGGGAACAGAGGAAAGGAGAGAGCCAGGAAGGGAGAUGGAGGUGCGAAAAGGAGAGAGGGGAGCAGAGUGGAACAGCGGAAAGGAGAGAGCCAGGAAGGGAGAUGGAGGUGCGAAAAGGAGAGAGGAGAGCAGAGUGGAACAGAGGAAAGGAGGGAGCCAGGAAGGGAGAUGGAGGUGCGAAAAGGAGAGAGGGGAGCAGAGUGGAACAGAGGAAAGGAGGGAGCCAGGAAGGGAGCUGGAAGGAGAAAAGGAGAGGGGAGUAAGGCCAAGUGCCCACCACCGGCAAUCCGAAUGGGAUUUAAAGUGGUUUAAUAUUUACAGACUGAAGCCGUGGCUAUAUAAUACGCCACAUGGUUAGUCGAAUAUCCUUUAAUUAAUCUAAGGGCUAAAAAUGUUUGGUCUAUACUAGUCUACAGCAUUAUGUGUGUUUUUCUGAGCCAACUCCACCAGGACCUCGAUGACCCAAUGGGUCUGGAGGGAGAGGAGGCCAGGUGGAGAAGACCAAGACCAGGGAACAGUUCUGGGUUUGGUUCAGAGAGGAGUCAUGGAUCCAUGUCUUGUUGGCCUCCAGGACAGCCUAAACCGGAGGUUCCAACAUCUGGAGAUUCUGGGGGCCUUCAGUAUGUUGGGACCUCAGGCUGCAUUCUCUAGUGAGAGGAUAAACACCUUUAAACUGACCCUCCUCUCCAGGCAGUUCUUGCAAGUGUCAGAGGCUGCUGUGAUACAAGAGUGGCCCUCUUACAAGCAACGUUGGAAAAUUGAAGGGAUUGGACCAGCUGACAGCAAUGACAAAGCUGGCCUCGCAGUUUGGUGAGUGAGGGCAGUCUACCCCUGCCUUAGUCAGCUGGCAGCGAUCGCACGGACUAUACCAGUGUCUUCCGCUAAUUGUCAAAACAGACUUGAGGAACAGACUGCAGGGAGAGCAUCUAUCCACCUGCAUGCAGCUCUCCAUCAAUGGCCCUCCCAUCAAGGAGCUCAAUUACAGGAGGGCGUUGGAAAUCUUUUUCCAAAAUCCCAGAAGAAUAAAGUGCUCUGACAAGGGCUGUAAACUAUGUUAGAACUAGGUUUUUGUCAGAACCUGGAAAGAGAUUUCCAACACCCUUCUUUUGUGAUGGACAUGAAUUAGUGGACUCUAAUUCAUGUUCAGUCUCAUGUUCCUCUGUUCUGUCCAGAUAAACUUUUUUUUAUUUCAGAAAGGUCUCUGUUGUGUUUCUUUAGAUAGCUGCAGCAC